CCCAGAGCACGGAAGGGAUAAGCAAGGUCACACUGCGUCAGAGACAGGCGCUGAGGAAGGGAGGCUUGGAGCCUGUGAACUGCACCAGAUCUGGGAAAUUCAUGAGAAAAAAAUAUUUUCCACUGUGGCACCACCAUCAGCCUUCUGCUCACUAGCUCUUAAUUUUGGAGAAUCCCUUCCUUGCCCGUCUGCCUUCUAUUUGGGAACGGAUCUACA